GACAGAGGGUGCAAACGUUGUUCGGAAUUACUGGGCAUAAAGAGCACGUAGGUGGCCCGCUAAGUCAGACGUGAAAUCCCUCGGCUUAACCGGGGAACUGCGUCUGAUACUGGAUGGCUUGAGUUCGGGAGAGGGAUGCGGAAUUCCAGGUGUAGCGGUGAAAUGCGUAGAUAUCUGGAGGAACACCGGUGGCGAAGGCGGCAUCCUGGACCGACACUGACACUGAGGAGCGAAAGCCAGGGGAGCAAACGGG
rnacentral:rRNA from 1 species